CUCUUCUCUGUCAAAAUGCCAGACUCUAACGAAGCUAUGCCAGCGCCGUGCCAGGUUAUCAAAGAGGACGUUAACAAAUGUGUCAGAGAGAAGGGAGCGGAAAGCUGUAAAGAUCUGAUAGAUGCCUUACAGGCCUGUAUAAAAACCCUGUCUGAGGGAUCAUGAUACAUAAGGAAGUAUACCUUAAUAAAAUCCUUCACUUCAUCAAACCCUUCUCCACUCUCCCAGCAUUCCUUUCCUUGCUUAUUGCGUUGGACCGAACCAUCUGAAAAUCUGAAGAGGGGGGUGAUGAUGCUGAGCAUCUGAUGCUACUAUCGAUGUAAACAUUUUUACAUAAAUGUUGCAACUCCAUUAUCGACUCUGAUUACCUAUGCACUGGAACAUAUUUAUGCACAAAAAUACAACAAAAUAAAUACAACAAUAAAUAUGAAGCUUUUCCA